rnacentral:rRNA from 1 species
AACGAACGCUGGCGGCAGGCUUAACACAUGCAAGUCGAGCGCCCCGCAAGGGGAGCGGCAGACGGGUGAGUAGCGCGUGGGAAUCUACCCAUCUCUACGGAAUAACGCAUGGAAACGUGUGCUAAUACCGUAUACGUCCUUCGGGCGAAAGAUUUAUUGGAGAUGGAUGAGCCCGCGUUGGAUUAGCUAGUUGGUGGGGUAAAGGCCUACCAAGGCGACGAUCAAUAGCUGGUCUGAGAGGAUGAUCAGCCACACUGGGACUGAGACACGGCCCAGACUCCUACGGGAGGCAGCAGUGGGGGAUAUUGGACAAUGGGCGCAAGCCUGAUCCAGCCAUGCCGCGUGAGUGAUGAAGGCCCUAGGGUUGUAAAGCUCUUUCACCGGUGAAGAUAAUGACGGUAACCGGAGAAGAAGCCCCGGCUAACUUCGUGCCAGCCGCCGCCGUAAGAC